rnacentral:rRNA from 1 species
UACGAAGGGGGCUAGCGUUGCUCGGAAUCACUGGGCGUAAAGGGCGCGUAGGCGGCCAUUCAAGUCGGAGGUGAAAGCCCAGGGCUCAACCCUGGAAUUGCCUUCGAUACUGUCUGGCUAGAGACCGGAAGAGGUAAGUGGAACUGCGAGUGUAGAGGUGAAAUUCGUAGAUAUUCGCAAGAACACCAGUGGCGAAGGCGACUCGCUGGACAA